AAUACUCAUUGAAGCAUAGACUCAUAACUUGUUUUUUUCUAUAAACACCUGAACAUUUCAAGGGGUUUUUAAAGCUGAAGAACUGUUUCCUUUUUAACCACAUAGUGUGAGAAUUUCAUGGGUGACAGACCUUCUAUGUGAAGUGAGGUAUAUCCUCUCCUCAUUCAGGAAGCUCGUGGGUUUUUCACUGUACACGUGUUGACCCCAUUUUUUUCUAUCUCUAUUCUCUUUUACUGAUUAAAGUUUCCUCUUUUGCAGACGUCAGGAGACCUAAGAUUUGUUUCAGACAAUGAUGCAGAAUCCCUGGAUCCACAAGACAAAAAGAAGAAGACAAAGAAGCAAACGAUACAAAUGAAUGAAACAGAAUUCCAGGUAAAUAAUGAUUUUACAUCGGAUAGUUUUGAGAAGCAAUCAAAGAAAGACAUAACAAAGAAGAAGAAAAGGACUGUGAAAGCAACAAGGGCAAGUAGAACUUCAAAUGAUGCCUUUGACCCAGAUAUUCUUCAAGCAUAGUCUAAAUUUUGGUAUCGAAUACUGGCUUCAUAUUUCAAAAGAAGCAAGGAAAAAUACGGCAUUAAAUUUUAGUAUGAAACAGUGACUUUCUCAUGGUGGAAAAUGUGAAGUAUUGUCAAACAUAUACAUUGACAAUUAGAAUUUUUUAUGGCGUGGGCAGCCAAGGAUACAAAAGUAAGAACAUGAAUUUCACAGCGGAACAAUGAAACUCAGAAUAGUUACUGUCACAUGUGACUUUGGUAUUUCCUUACAUGUAAAAUACAUUAUUAUUCUUUACAAGUAAAAUAAGUUGUUUUAAAAAUGUAAUGAAAUAUUUGAGAUAUUCUUUUAAACUUGAAAGAUACCAUUGUGAGCAGAACUGGAACAUGAGUUGGUACAGACAUAGCAUUCUGGAAGCUCUCUUUUUCUGGUUCAAAUAAAGGCUUGCAGUAGUUGUUGUUUGAUAUGUGGUAACUCUAAAAGAGUUCAAAAACUAGGGAAAAAAUCCAUUCCAAAAUAAAUCCCAGAUUCCAAAAAUAAAUUCCAAAUAAAUUCUUGUCUUCCUAGCUUUUUCAACACUGUUGUACAUUUGUGUAGUCACAGACAUCAAUUAUAAUAAAUCUGAAUCUGUAAAUGAGUAAAUUCCAGCCACCAUCAUUAAGAGAUGCAAAAAUGGUUUUUAUAUGUUUUUAACUUAAAUUAACUUAAAUUGUUGAAGCAAAAAGUUCUUUAUUUAGUGUUGCCAAACUAAGUCUACUUAAUUUUGACUGUUUUUAAUUAAAAUGUAGGUAAGAGUAUAUUUUUAUGUAAGUAUAUUUUUGUGCUCAGGUGUUACUGUUUUUAAAUUAAAAAGCAUUAAAUUGUGAAAGAUUUAUUAA